rnacentral:rRNA from 1 species
UUGAUYCAUGGCUCAGAUUGAACGCUGGCGGCAUGCCUUACACAUGCAAGUCGAACGGUAACAGGUCUUCGGAUGCUGACGAGUGGCGAACGGGUGAGUAAUACAUCGGAACGUGCCCGAUCGUGGGGGAUAACGGAGCGAAAGCUUUGCUAAUACCGCAUACGAUCUACGGAUGAAAGCAGGGGACCGCAAGGCCUUGCGCGGACGGAGCGGCCGAUGGCAGAUUAGGUAGUUGGUGGGAUAAAAGCUUACCAAGCCGACGAUCUGUAGCUGGUCUGAGAGGACGACCAGCCACACUGGGACUGAGACACGGCCCAGACUCCUACGGGAGGCAGCAGUGGGGAAUUUUGGACAAUGGGCGAAAGCCUGAUCCAGCCAUGCCGCGUGCAGGAUGAAGGCCUUCGGGUUGUAAACUGCUUUUGUACGGAACGAAAAGACUCCUUCUAAUAAAGGGG